CCACGCCGUAAACGAUGAAUACUAGGUGUCGGGUGGCAAAGCCAUUCGGUGCCGCAGCAAACGCAGUAAGUAUUCCACCUGGGGAGUACGUUCGCAAGAAUAAAACUCAAAGGAAUUGACGGGGACCCGCACAAGCGGUGGAGCAUGUGGUUUAAUUCGAAGCAACGCGAAGAACCUUACCAAGCCUUGACAUCUGGGUGGCAGAGCAUGUAAUGUGCUUUUCCUUCGGGACACCCAAGACAGGUGGUGCAUGGUUGUCGUCAGCUCGUGUCGUGAGAUGUUGGGUUAAGUCCCGCAACGAGCGCAACCCUUAUCUUUAGUAGCCAGCACGUUAAGGUGGGCACUCUAGAGAGACUGCCAGGGACAACCUGGAGGAAGGUGGGGAUGACGUCAAAUCAUCAUGCCCCUUAUGGCUUGGGCUACACACGUGCUACAAUGGCGUAAACAAAGGGAGGCAGUGCCGUGAGGCUGAGCAAAUCCCAAAAAUAACGUCUCAGUUCGGAUUGUAGUCUGCAACUCGACUACAUGAAGCUGGAAUCGCUAGUAAUCGCGAAUCAGAAUGUCGCGGUGAAUACGUUCCCGGGUCUUGUACACACCGCCCGUCACACCAUGGGAGUUGGAAAUGCCCGAAGUCAGUGACCCAACCGAAAGGAGGGAGCUGCCGAAGGCAGGUUCGAUAACUGGGGUGAAGUCGUAACAAGGUAGCCGUAUCGGAAGGUGCGGCUGGAUCACCUCC
rnacentral:rRNA from 1 species